UUGCAUCUUGCUCCUCAGAGAGGAACUGCCUGGGCCAGCCUGAGAUAAGAGCUCCGCUGUCACCUCACCCUGGGUGAUCAGGACUCUGAGUUCAGCUUCUCAACAUGAGGCUCCCUGCUCAGCUCCUGGGGCUGCUGAUGCUCUGCCUGCCUGGAUCCACAGGAGACGUUGUGAUGACCCAGACCCCACUCUCUCUGUCCAUCACCCCUGGAGAGCCAGCCUCCAUCUCCUGCAAGGCCAGUCAGAGCCUCUUGCAUAGUAAUGGAAAAACUUACUUUUACUGGCUUGUGCAGAAGCCAGACCAAGCUCCACGGCGCAUGCUUUAUCUGAUUUCCAAUAGAGACUCGUGGGUCUCUGACAGGUUCAGUGGUAGUGGGUCAGGAACAGAUUUCACACUCACAAUCAGCAGGGUGGAGGCUGAGGACUCAGGGGUGUAUUACUGUUUGCAAGCUACACAUGAACCUCCCACAGUGCUACUGCCCUGA